ACCAUCUUAAUUCCAAAAUGAAAUUGGAUAUAAACCUAAUUCUCAAUUAAAAGCUAACUCAUAGUAUAUUUAACCUACACAGGGCGUGGAUGGCAGAGAUGCCUAUGGCCCUGAAGGAAGCAAAGGAGCAAAGGGAGAAUCUGGAUUCAUAGGAUAUCCUGGUCCGGAGGGAGUAGAAGGAGAUAAAGGCCUUCCAGGAGCUGAAGGACCCAAAGGAAUUAGGGGUAGAAGAGGUAAUUCUGGCACACCAGGUUCCUUGGGAGAUCCAGGUGACCAAGGGCCAUCAGGACCUAUGGUAAUUUUUUUUUUUAAUAAAAUCUUUAUUUUCAAAAAAAAUCACCCUUAAAUUGCUCUUAAAAUU
rnacentral:lncRNA from 1 species